GAGCUGGGAGGGAACAAGCAGAAUUAAGACAGCUGACUUAAGCUGGCCAAAGGGAUAUUCCAUACCAUAUGACAUCAAGCAGGAGUUUUGAGGAGGAUGAGAGUUCAUCUCUCACUCUUCUGCUGCUCAGGGGCUAACUGGGCAUCAGGCAGGGGGCGGUGAGCCAUUGCUUGUGCAUCACUUUUAUAUACAUUCAUAUGCAUACAUGUCAUAAUUACUAUUCUCUUCCUUUUCUGUCUUAGUUUUAUCUCAACCCAUGAGUUCUACUGUGAGUUUUUGUAUUCUCUCCCCCAUCCUACUGGGAAGGGAGGAAUGAGGGAACAAUGGCGUGGUGCUGAGCCACCUGCUGGGUUAAACCACAACAGCCAGCAGUCAGGAACUGAGCAGAACCCUUCCCCAACAAACACACAGGUCAGAAGAGCACAUCCAUCCGCCCUCCCUGCCCUACUGCACGUUCACACACAGUUUGCUCUUUUAAGCACCAGAAAGAGGGACAGUAAUUCCUAAUCCACUCAUAUGCUUUGGCAUCAUUAGUCUAACUUCUGUUUUCACCGGUAACUGCUCCUCACACCUCUUGCAGUUCUGACUUCUGCUACUGUUGUGUACUUUUCUCCCUAACUAGUAAGAGUGAGAGCUGACGCUUCCCUCACCCCUUUUCCUUCUCUUUCUGAAACCUUAUUUCCACUACUCUAAUAGUUCUUGACUUAACUAGGACAAGGAAAAUUAUUCUGGGCUCCUCUGUCCUAGCAGUGCAGCUAUUCCAUAUUAACCAUCCAGAGCACUAAAAAGUCACACUGGAGCCUCAGGCAACCAUUCUAAUGUUCCCUUCAAUUCAUAGUUUAAUAUAAUCACCCAGUUUUACCAGACGUGUCUAUAGCCAUGCAUUCACUGCUACAUACAUACACUUUCUUUUUGCAUAGAAAUACUCCAGCACGAACAAAAUUGAGAAAGUUCCAUUCAUGGCUAUGCAUGAUGAUGUUUGUGUGACAGCAUUCUUCCUGAGAAGUCCCAAUAAGCCAUAGAGAUGGAUAUGUAAGUAGACCUUAACUUUCUAUCAUCCAACGCCCAACACCACUGUCACUGCACUUCUAUUUUUCCUAUGGGCACAAAGUGUUUUGUAGUAUUGGGUUCACCUCACCCAUAGCAGAGCAGUUUGCAAACCACAGCAUGCGCACCACUGAGGAUACGAGCUCUUUUCAGAGCAAAUCAAAACAAAAACCUUUGUGGCAUAUAUCCUAAUUCUACUGCACAGCUUUGUCAUUUCUGGUACUGAUCAACAAAAUGAAGUUGUCUUUUAUGCGCUGUAAGAAAGCAAAUCACCUGCGUUUUUUCAGAUGCUACUUCCCGUACAUUGCCAAUAUUUAACUGCAAGAGACAGCUUGUUAGGUACGUGUAUUGCUACCUCCUGUAGGAAAAGUGCACAGGCCGAGCAUUUCCUUUAAGCACAUGGGCUAGGUUUUGCAACUCUUCUCUCAGGCUGGUUUCAAUUGCCCAGAGUCUGCACCUGAAAGAACCCACCUUGAUUUGAGCUCACCGCUCAGUUAUGCUGUUCAGGUUCUCAGAGUACAAUACGUCCCCACUGACAAGCAAGGAGCUCAACAUCAGCUCAUUUUGCAGUGGUCACUUGGCCAUCCUGAUGCUGGAAAUGGCUGAAGGCUGAGAUCAGUACCAGACAGGGCAAAUACAGGGACUGCUAUAAUCACUGAGCCCCAUGAGGGCUGCUGACAGCAGUUCCCCACACCCCUGCCAGCAGCAGGAACCCCCCUGCACCUUGAGCUGUCACCUCAUCACCUCCUCUACAAAGACACCACUGAAACAACAAAUUCACUGUCCUUGCUGCAGUAAAGACCAGGUCAGCAUAACAAACCCAGGGAAGGGUUUGCAACUGGGAGCUCUCGCCACCUUCCUUGCAGUUGGCGCACACAGUGCAACAAGCUUGUGUACCCUUUGCAUCAGCGAGCAUGCAUCUCAUUCACAGCCACUACCAUAGAACCUCUGGGACAGAGAGCUUUAAAAACAGAAACAGCCUGAAACCAAGUGAUGUGCUGCUGUAUGAAACAGCAGCUGAGACUGCCUGCACUUGGCCUCGCAGGCUUCCACUUCAACUGCUGCACACAGGACUGCAUUAGUAAUAGUGUCAGAAAGCCCAGCAUCCACUUCAUUUAUUUUGAUGAAGGCUUUCUCUGCUCUCAUCUCCACUGACUACACAUGUCAGAGGAAGGUCAAAAUGGCUAAAUUUUCUCCUGCACUGUACAAAGAGGCCUGAAGAACAGCAGUAAAUUUAGCCCUUUCCAUUUUCACCGUGGCUGAAGAAAGAGCGGAAGGAAUUUAUUACCAUCACAUUGACUCCGGCAUAACCUGGCUGCUUUUAUCAACGUUGCUUAAUUUAAGAGAUAAAACCAGAGCUCCUUUCUGCCUGAGAUCCAUCAACCCAAAGACAGCAUUUAGAUUUCAAGGAAAACUGAAGUGUGGGAACACAUAUGUGAGCAGAAGACUUGAGCACCUCUCCCAGCACAGUUAUCUCGACACAAGGCGUACUGCAGUGCUCAUGUACCAGGGAAUGGAGACAGACUCAGAUGUUAAAUAAACCAAGCACCUUAUCAACAACACUAAACUUCUCCUUUACUCAGUAGUGGUGAGUAAACACGUUAGUUUAAUAGAAGUGUAAUCAUAUUUCAAGAUGGCAAGUGCAAAUGUUCUGGAGCAACAAUAUCUUCUUAUUUGAUAAGACAACAUGCAGACAAAUAAUGCUAGCUGGCAAAUCUACAACAACGUGAAUGCUGCACCUCUCCCACACUUAUGUAGCUCAUCGUUACCAUAAUGCAAACCAACAUUGUUCAAUACAUCCACUCAACAUGUAAACGUAGGAAAAAUAUAUACCAUAAGAAUAGAAUUGUUAUACUCGGGAAGCUGGGAAAAACACUGCAACAAUCCUGUGUGAUACUUCAGCUACUAAAGCUACCAAACUAAAUGACAGCACGAUGUGCUCUGCUAAUCAAAAUGGCUUUUCUUCAUAGCAGAACUUAAUAGAAGGCAGACGCACUGUGGCUGCCAGUCCGGAUGCUCUAAAGCAGGCUGCAGACCGGCACAGUGAGAUCCCAGAUCAGGGAGCCCUAAAGUGUUGUUCAUAACAAGCUAAUCAAGGAGCAGUGGCUGUGUAAAUCAGCUCUAAGAGCAUCAGGUCUCAGGCAGAUAUUGACAGAGCAGCCCACUUCACCAUUAAGUGAAGGCUAUCAGAUCCCCAGCAGCAAUACUUCACACCCCGCUGAAGCAAAACUGUUCCCAACACAGCAAAUGAAGCAUCCAAAAAAGUCCGUGUACAUCUACCAACCAAGCUGUCAAAUUCACUGCCCCAACGUUGACAGCAGCUAUAAAUUCAACGUGGGGAUGAGUCUGAUGGAUCUUCCGCUGGGAAACUUGGUGUUAGUCUCGGGCUGUUACACUACUGGUACCAUAAAUGAGUUGUGUCUACUACAGUUUCAGUUUAUAACAUGAAAUCCUUAAGAUCUCGAAAAACGAUCUCUAGUGAUGGCUAGGAUGGCUCCCCUUGGCUGAAGGGAAUAACCAGUGCCCUGCAGACAGCAUCAGUAGCAGCAAUGGACUAUGUAAGGGUUUAUGCAGCCUCCCUUCACAGCUUUAGCCCCCGCUGGGCACAAGAGCUCCCUCAAAAAUUGACUCAUCCAUCCAGCACUGGAAACGUUCCCUCUACCAGAGAAAGUACGGAUGGAUGGUGAUGGACUCUGGCUGGACAGCAUCAUCCAGUUUGUGAGACUUGGGCCCAUAUUCAAACUGUCCAUAUUUAGUCAAGACUUACAUUAAAUUGGUGAUGGAUUCUUCUCUCAGGAAGAAAAGAAUUUGGUCCAGAAACACUGAGGCAAUUCCAGUAAGGCCACAGGUGAUGCUGUUAGGGACAGAAAGACAAAGGAUAGAAACUAAUCCAGACCCCUAUGUCUAUGCAAGAUCUUAUUCUUAGGACAGAAGCACGCAGCUGUCUCACUCACGUGAAAAAUGGGCAUAAAUCCACAGCCCCAACAAAACUGAGUGGUUAUCCCAUAUCUAAAUGCAAGCAAGUUUCAGAGCACCUGCACAGGCUGGAGAGCAACACAAGCGCUACUCCCUCCCAGCAAAGCUUCUUGGUGAGUGCAGAUACUGCCAGUGCCCUGCCCCCACAUGUAAGCUAAAAACCUCCUCUUCUAGGAGAGAGUGACACGGCACCAGUGCUCAGCCACCCUUGGCUGAGGCCACUGCUGCAGAAGCACAGCUCACAGCUCUCCAAUCCUAAAGCUCUAUCUGCAGCAAUCAGACAUCCUUUGAGGCAGUCAGGCAGGAACAAAGUGCUGACACCUCCUGCUGCAGUGACAGCUCCGAACACAGCAUGCCCUGGUACUCCCAGGGGAGGAGGCCAGAGAAGCACUGCCUUCAGUGCCCUAUCCUGCAGGAGGGAUGCAAUCAGAACACACAGCAGAUCCAGCUUGCAGGCCAUCUGGCUAACCACAAUGCUGCCUCUGAUGAAGAGGAGGCUUAGAGCCAAGAAUCAGUACCAACUGUUUUAAUGGAAACAUCUCCAAAUAUUUUUCCAGCUACUGCUGAAAAUACGUACUCUAACAAGGCCAGAACAGCAAUGAGGACCAAUGGAGAUCUCUCCCUACCACGGCACCGUGAGAAAAUCCUGCGCUGAGAAAAGCUGCUGGGGUUGUGAUAGCAGGUAGGAAACUAGCUGGUCAACCACAAGCAAGAAAUUGGAGCACUCAAAGCAGACAGUAUCAGAAUGCCAGCACUACCUGGUAUUUACCUAAUGACUCAUGCAGAGAAGAAUCCAUCCAUUUAGGUGUACUGACCUAGUCAGCGAACAGGUAACAAGAGAGCUUAUGAAAUGACUGGGAGCUCAGCUCUUCCUGACCUCAGAGAACAAAGAAGCCUUGUAGCAAGAAAAACAUCCUUCUUUCACAGUCUCUUUCCUCACUUAUGCACAAUCUUUCUCCAGAGAUUAAAACUGCACUUUCCACCAAGAUGCAAAAGCAGAAGACACAGAGCACAAGGAAGACCAGGUGUUACUGUUGAUCUCCAUAAACACAAGGUACAGAUGACACCAGAAUAAAUAUUUCCAAGUUUCCCAGAUUCCUAGUCUUCUAGAUUUUUCUAGCAAUAGAUUUCACAGAAAACGUUUUGCCUUCUAAACAUCCUUCAUGCACGUGCAAACAGCAUCAGGUUUAACUACUGACUCCUGCAAUCACUCAAAUCUCACAACAAUUUUUUAAUGUUGGAUAUUAAUAUACAGAUACUUAUUGGUGCAGAAUUCAUAGACCAAACUUAAAAGAUCCUUCCCUCCAAAAGUAACCGAAGAUCAUUAUACAAACACAGAACUAUUCACAGCCUCUUUACAUAAAAGGGAUGCAUAAUGUGGAAAGCAACUGGGGCACUCCAAGUUCAAUGAUUAGUGUAGUUUGAAAGUGUAGGCUGGAAGAACAGUAGAUUCUUAUAUACAUAUAUACGUAUAUACAUAUACAUAUAUAGAGAGAGAGACACACACACACACAAAACACAUGCAAAGGACACAAGGCUUCUUUUAUAUCCUUAUUAAAGUGAUAGUAAAGUCUAAAUCACAGUGCUUUAAAUCUUAACUGUUUGUGACUUCUCCUAUUUUGAUUUCUGUCAAUAGAGUUAAAGGAUUUUAAAACAUCACUGUAUGGCCACUGCCUACAGCCCUAAGGGGCUGAGUACAGAAAUAACGUAAAAGAUACCACGAAGUCUACAAAAUAAGAUGGAUUUCAUUUCAUUGAAGCACUGUGUUCUUUACUUCGGGGAAAUUAAUUUACCAUCCUUGACAGCAUGCAUUAUUCUUCAGCUGCACUGAGCACUGAUAGCAUCACUUGAGGUAUGCCCACAGCUGAACUUGAAAAAGCCUUAUCUAAUUUAAUGCAUUCAGCAAUCUGAAGUUUGUCUUGCAAACUGAACUUUCCCAUCCUGCAAGUAAAACACCUGUGUUUCCCUCACCCUCCAAAAAUUAUCCAUGCUUCAUGUAACAAUCAGGAAGAUCAACAGGGUGGAAUGGUGAUACAGGAGGUGUAAUGACAAAGGAAUUAGCGUGAUGGAAAGGUGUUAAAAGAAAAAGGGAAAGCGCUCACCCAUCUCUGAAGAUCAAGGCUCACGGGGAAAACUCCACAAGGGAGGGAUUUCCAACCAGAGAUCCUUCCACAGUGGCAGUGAGCCCUUCAAUGAGGUCUAAGGGAGGUGGAGCCAAGCCUCCACCUGUGCUCCCAGGGCUGGCUGGGUCCUUUCCCCAGGUGCUCAAUCAGUGGUUCAGGCCGUGACCCAACAGUUCCCGUACACUCCAUCUCCUUCAUUAAGCAUUCCAUUUUUUUCAAGAGUUUGGAAAUUAAUAAUAAUUCAUAAUUUCAUAAAUUCGUAACAAUAAUACAUGGUAGAAAAUACACCUACUUUCCAGAUCAUUCUUCCAAUGGCAAAACACAUCGCUUCACAAGCAUGCUUCUACAGGCUGUGCCUUCCCACAGAAGCAGCUGCGCACUAUCUUUGGGAUGACUGAUGGUCAAGUCCCAAAACAUCAAACAGCUCAUCUGUCACAAACAAAACCUACUCACCUUCAAGACAUGCUAGUUUCCAGUAGAAACGCGUGAAUAGGCUCAUUUUAGAAGAUGUAAUGGUCCAUCAGUUUUUGCACUUAUGUUUCUUUGCUGUUCCUCUCAGAAACGGGUAUUCUGAAGAUAUAAAAAGAAUCUCAAUUUAAAAUACAGCACACGCACACAGAAAAUGACACUACAUUACCUAAACAUUACAUUUUUCCUGCUUUUUGCCUAGCACACUGAAAGGUCAUCUGAAACCAACCUGAUAGGUCCAGUUACUGAACAACUUUGCUGACUUAUCUCAAAGGAAGCAGCAAGGACUCCUUGCCUUACCCCUGUAACCAUCAGAGUUUACACAUUUACUAUCUGCUUUACAGUAGCAUAUUGAGAAUUUACCCUGAAGGUUAUGAAUGGAUAAGUGACUUUAAAGUCACACUGGUGCCAGAGCUGAGAAUUACACUGUACUAUUGAUGGUCCCUUUUCACCUUGCCUGCUGCAUUUUCAUAGAAUCAUAGAAUGGCCUGGGUUGAACAGAACCACAGUACUCAUCCAGUUUCAAUCCCCCUGCUAUGUGCAGGGUCACCAACUGCCAGACCAGGCUGCCCAGAGCCACAUCCAGCCUGGCCUUGAAUGCCUCCAGGGACGGGGCAUCCAAAGCCUCCUUGGGCAACUUGUUUUAUGUAGCUUCUCUGCAGAGAAGGACCUGGGUGUCCUGGUGGACAGCAGGGUGACCCCAAGCCAGCAGUGUGCCCCUGUGGCCAAGAAGGCCUAUGGGACCCCAGGGUGCAUAGCACAGAGCAUGCCCAGUGGGCUUAGGGAGGUUCUUCCUCAGUGCUCUGCCCUGGUGAGGCCACAGCUGGAGCACUGUGCCCAGUUCUGGGCUCCCAGCACCAGACAGGGAAGUUCCGGGGAGAGCCCAGAGGAGGGCUGCAUGGAUGUUUGGAGCUGCAGAGGUCCCUUCCAACACCUACAACUGUGAUUCUGUGAUAUUUAUUCGCUAUGCUUGGGUUUAUCUCCCAAGUACUACCAUCAAACUUAAUUCCACCAAGGUUUCCUCAAUAAUAGAUUAGAUUCCAUGGCCUCAUUAGGGACGCUUAAUGCCAAUUGUGCAACACAAGAAGAGCACUUCACCUGUUUGGGGUUUUGAGACUUUGAUGUAGGUUUGGAAAAUGAGCCUGAAAACACAAAGUCAAAACAUUCAGAUUGUAAACAGGCGAACACCACUUUAGAAACAUAUUCCAUAACGGGCCCAUUUUGCAACCAAAAUAAUUCAAAUGCUAGCAAGAAUCAUCCCAAUUCCAUAAAUGGUUCACCAGGAGAUUAACCAAGGUCACGUUCUCUUACAUUGAGACUUUUAAGAUUCCUCCCCUGAAAAGCCUCCCUCUAGGGCACCAGCCACAUUAUGAAGUUCAGCGUUCCUGCACAUCAGCACAACCUACAUCAAAGCACGCUACAGCCUGCCAAGCGCUGACUGCCCAAGGAGAGGCCGCAUGACUUCUAAGUGAGAGAUAUCCACAUCCAAGAGCCUCCUAGACUGGGUGAGAGCUGCAGCUGGAUGCUCAGAGAUAACUGCCAACUCAUUAAAAUCCAACAUUAAAAGUUUAUUAAAUAUGCAAGCAUUAAUGGAAUUGGACUAGCAGCUAUUUAGGCAGAUAAAAUUCAACACAGCGUGUCCUGCAGCUCCUGUUAUCGCUAUUAUGUAGGCUGCCCUUUUGCAGUGUCCAUGAAAGGGUCGCAGUGCUAGCCAAGGCAGCGAAACCCUCCAUCUGUUCUAGUUUACUCAGGUCACAUUCACAAGGUUCCCAGCAGCCAGGAAGCCUAGGAAAAGACAGCUACUUCCCAGCAACUCCAGCUUAGCACGUGCUGCUACACUAGACUGUUGGAGAUGCAACCUUCCCAAGAGCUUUAACCCCCUUUGGCCACAGAUGCUGUACAAGUCCCACAUAUCUCUGCAGGCUCACAGGUAGGCAGGUUUGGUAUAUAUACCCAGCUCUCAGUCCUUCUCACCUUCCUGCUGGAGUUGGAAGAGAAGGAGAGUGGUGUGUCAAGACAGACAAGAUAGACUAAAGAAUGCCAACCACUUAGAAGCGGCACUUCUGUACCACCAGGGAACCCCGAGAGCACACAACACACGCACAAAACCCUGCUUGGAGCUACUCAUUUGCAGCUAUCCAGAAACAAGCACCAGAGUCCUCUGCACAGAUGGUAACCCCAGUACAGCUCCACAAAGUGCAGUUUCAUUCCUGGAUGACUCUGCAAAGUCUCAGUGCUUGGUGAGUAACUACCCCAAGAACACAGAGGUUCGUUCCGAGUGAUAUCAGACUUGGAAGAGUUCUUCAUUAAAACUCUCAGCAUCAUUUGAUCUGGCCCAGGGGGCAAAGGGGCAUACUCAUACCACAAAGCAUAAACAAGCUCAUGGAAGCCUCUAGUGCACCUCCAAGCAGCUCUGGCAAUAGUCUUGCUCUCAGUAGUGGCUUCUAAGAGUAUCUGGAAGAUUUAAAUCCCUAAUUAAACAAAAAAAAAGUCUUCUCUCAACACACAGGUGUGGUAAAUCACUUAAGCCUUGGAGAUGCAAAGUUUCUGAAAAAGACCGUAAUGAAAUCUUAAGGAGCAAUUAGGACAAAGCAUGACUUAACAGGAAAAAAUAAGGAGUACGAAUUAUCGUCACCUCUGACAAAAGCACUGAACUCAGUGAACACUAAAAGGGGAAAUUAGCCUUUUGGCUGGGCAGGUUUCCUACUAACAGCAACAAGGACAGUCUCUUACUGGAGCACGCUGGUUUAAGGGUUAAGAACUAUUUAGCACUCAGCCUAUGCAAUCCAACACAUGAAUCCAAAAUUUAACCUGUUUUUUGGUGCUGUAACCAAAAGGUCUCCCACAAAACUGGCAGAAGACCCCAAGGAUUUGUUGGCCAGGAGGGAAUCUGGUGUAACACAACGCUUGCGCUUUGCAGAACCGCAAGCAGCAGCAGCAGCCUGUUUGGGAUCAGAUGUACAAAACCCUGCAGCUGACUGUCUACUCAGUCACCCCACUGAGCUCCCAACCACAACUGUAUUAAACCACUCCCAUCAAACAGUUUCCAUUAUUCCUCCCCAGCAGUUCCUGUCCCCAGGAGAAAACAAUGGAUGAUUGAGCAUAAAAAUAAUCUAGCUUGCAGCCGAUACCUCCAAAGAGUCUCGUGAUGAGCAGGCUGCAGGAGGAGUCCGUCAUCACAAAAACACAACAAAUCAGUUACCCAGCAGCACUACUUCCCCCCCUUACAGACAGGUAGGUACAUCGAAACUACGGGUCAUUUGCAUUCCUCAAGUACAAUAACCCAUUAAAGAAGUACUACACUUGUAAGUGAAUCAGGAAGGUCAAAGCGCUCUUAGUCAUCCAGCUGCUAUGUUAACCUUUGCUUAGGAAGGGAUGAAAAGAAUCCUCCCAAGCAGCCCCAUGACUAAAAAAAAAACUUUUAAACAUUCUCACUCUGACAAUGAGCAAUACCACAAAAAAAGUCUGGUAGUUGUAAGGCAAAUAGGCAGAAAAAAAAAACGAUGCUAAGGAAAUCAGGCUACUGCCUGCUGUGGUCCUUGGCACCACCAGCAUGGGAGCCCAACACCACUACAAUUGCAGCAGUAUUUAACCUCCUGGUGGAUCUGAGGCCAGCAACAGAGCUGGGUACACAGCACCGGUGAGAAACCGCUCUUCAGGAAACACUCAAGCAGUCCAGAGACAGGCAUUGGUAACUGAGGGAACAUCACUGCUGUUAGUACUAAGCUAACACAGCAGAGUCACAGAGCAAAGGCCGGAGCUGUGGCAGCCACGGUACCAGGCACCAAACAAGACAGUGACAAUGCAGCCUGACGAGUCGUGCCAGCACAGAGAUCCAGAGCUGCAGAUGCCAGGAGCAUUGGCCUUUAUCUGCAAGCUGAUGGGCAAAUCUGUUGAGCUAAGAGAAGAGUAGGCGCAGUUCACAAAUCUGAAGAAGAGAACAAGAUGUUUCCUGGCAAGACAAAAGGAGUAAAAAGAACGUUUUCUCACCCACUUGCUGCUUGCACUGCUACUUUCCCCUUAACUUGGCUCUGAAGUCAGACUGGCUGACCACCUUCUCUGCUAAGAAAACUCCAAAAAUAGCACACAGAAAUGCAGCGGAUUGUACUUUGGAACACACCAUGGACAACGGUCUUUGUUCACUGCUCACACCACAGCAGUACACUCACACUUGGUAGAUGAACACAAGGACAAACGUAGGCCACACGUGCAGAGAAGAAGAUAUUCAGACAUAAGAGAUAUCAUAGAUGUCAUCCUCAGAGUCAGAAAAUGAAUACCUAUUAAAGCAGCCUGCAAGUGCUGGGGUACAGCUCAAUAGGAACCAGAUGGGCUAAGGAAAAACAGCUUCAUGGGAAAGCUUAGAAGGUGGUGGUGGUUGUUUUUUUUCCCCCACUAAAUUGUCUGAUGACUCAUUAAAGAGAAAUCUUUGUGAUGUAACUAUUCAGUUAGGCAUGGGACUUAUACAAAGAACUCUCAUAAUCAGCUCUCCAAGUAAUCCUCUGAUCACCAUCUGGAGCUCAAUCUAAAUCCUGAUCUCAGUUACGCUAAGCGCCCGUGCACCUCUGAAACCAAGAAUUUGGUACAAACACACCUGAGAUGAACCACAUCCUGACAGCAAGUUCACAGAGAGGUACAAGAGAACAGAAAAUGCAGAAAACCUGAUCUGCCUUUUACUCCUGGAGCUCUUCACAGACAUCUCUACAAGUGCACGUUGAGGAAUAGCCACAGACUGUGCCGGAGGCAACUCCUGUCCAUCACAUCUAGGGAGAGGUUUCAAAAUGAAUAAGUAGAAAGGCAGGACUUAAAAGCACAAUGCUGCAGCUAAAGCAAAAUGUUUCUUCUGGCAAGCAAAAAAAAAGAAAAACAAGCAGAGUUACAAAAAAACAUAUGCAAGGAAUCAGCUAUUUUAUAAGUAACUCAAAACAUAUUACCACUGCAGCAUGCAGAAAUUCCUUCACCUGAAGCACCACACAUCAGCAGGGCUUUUCAGCUGUAGUUAGUUCUUUGAUGGUGGAUUUUUUUCUCCUGAUUACCUGGAGCUCCUAUUCUAUAUACAUCCAUGGGGCAAACAGGAAAGUCUGAGAUGCCUCCCACUGACAAAGCCUCUUAGCUGGAGAAAUGAGUUCUCUUGUAUACAGUGCUUGGUGUCACAUGCCGGGCUGCCCACAGCAAAGCACUCAAGACUGAGAUGUGUCACAUCUCCGAGGAAUGCAUCUAAUCUCAUCAGUUCCAGAGGAAUUCUCCUCUUCUCAAAGCAGUUUAUCAAACACCUUUUAGACCUCUGCAAGAAAGUCCAUCACAGCAAGGAAAGAGGCACAGAGUAAGCUGAAAACACCCAAGCAAGUACGCUUAGUUCAUACUUGACAGCAAAUGCUUACAAGAAUAAGGAUACUUUUUUUCUUGGUUUGGUUGUUGUUGCUAUUCUCCAAAUUACAAUGUAUAUUAAAACCAGAAAGCUUUCUGUGCUGGAAGGAAGGAAGAGCCAGCGACUGCUGGCUUACUGGCACACACAGUUUCUUCCAGCUAAAGGUAUGUUUAAGUAUAAACAGGAGUUAGAUUAGAAAGCCAACCAGAUGUGGCAAAGGCAGACUCGAGUCAUUUCACUAUGAGUGGAGGUACAACCCCAAUUACCCGCUCACAGCAUGCAGCAGGGACUACCAACAGUCAACACCAGUAUACUACAGGAUGCUUUAAGAUCACAACGCAAGAACAAACCAAAAAGAGCUAACACCUUUUACAUUCUUGAUUCAUACUUGUCUGGAAAUUGUGUUAAUUAAUCUCUAUCUAAUUUGUAUGUAAGGAGGCACUAGAGGCCAAGCCUCCUGGUGACAGUUAGCUGGUGGGGAGCGCAGACUGCUCCAGUCUGGAGGGUGAGACUUUUACCUUGUCAUUAUCUUUGGCACAGUACUUCCCUCCUGGUUCCAGCAACUGACAUUCAUAAGGGUUGCACAAGACCAAAGUCCUGUGCAGCAAGUAAAUAUUUAACUUCAGCACUGUACUGUGGGGACCCACCUAGAGCAUUGGCUAUAGGAGCCUACUUACACUGUCUGUUCUAAGCAGGAAUAAUCAAUGGCAAUUUAUCUUCUUUAUGAGAAGUCAUAAACUCUACAAGGACGGCAGUUAAGCUUUAGUUCUAAUAAUUUUAACAGAGGACCCAAAAGUGAAUACUCCCAGGAAAGGAGAUCUAAGCAAUGUGAUAGGUACUCCAGAACAGGUUCAGGAGGGGGGGCAGAGGCCACAGUGCAAAGGUCAUUUACAACCUAAGCAUGCGGAGUUCCAGAAGCUCAAGAAAAAGCAUUUUAUCACUGCAAUCCUACCAGUAAAGUUUGCCACCAAGUCUUACAUAAAGUUCUUGGACUUCACAAGGCAAAGCAUUUACUCUCCACUGAAUAUCUACAAACUGCUGCACCACCACAGACUUAGAAAUAAUGCGAUUAGCAUGGAGGCUGAUGUUUGUUUCCAGGCACAAAGCCUGCUCUUAGUCUUAGUGUAACAUGUUUAGAUCCCAGCGAUGUUCUUUGCGUUCCUCCAACGUAAAUUACUGCUAAUAGUCUCACUCCAGGCAGAGAUCUUUCUGAUGCCUCCAACAGCUCUAAAAAUAAAGUUCCAAUCAGAAGCCAUUCAGAGCAAUUACCUGUUUACUCCAUUCCAAUUCUUAUACCACCUGUUUCCUUUAUCUGAAUGUGACUUAUUUAUUUUUUCUCAAGUGCCCCCAUUUAUACUGUUUUGAACACCAGUUUUAGCAGUGAUUCUUAUUGGCAACAAUCACUACUAUAGGUAAAUUUCUUAUACUUCUGCAGUGCUGCACUUCCAGCCCUUCACACUCUGACGCUAACGCAGACCAGCCCCAAACGCAAAGCUUUCCAGGAAACAAAUCAAAGCACCUACAUUGCUUUUUGUGGGGUGUGAGGGGGCCAAGAAUACCGGCCCAUGAUGAAAUAAGGAGGCAGACAGUGCCGCACAGCUUUAACUAAAUUGAGCAGGACCAGAGGGGAGCAGGGAACAAGAUUUUCCAGUUUCAAGCAAGAAGAAUAAGGAAAAGCAAAGCCAGGAGGGCAGCUCACCUGUCCAAGGAACCGCAGCCUCGGGCACGCUUUCAGAAGCUGCUGUAAAGCCUGGAAUCCGAGCAGUGCCCAGCUGGGCGGGCCUGCCGCUCCCUCUUACACACAGCCUCUGCUCACUGCGCUUCCAUCCAGCGCUGAGCGCUGCCAGCAGGGAGCCAGCCAGCCACGCAGGCACCCACACCCAGAGGCAAUGAAAGGAGGAGACAGGUGUAAGGACAGCCUACCUUUGGCACAGUACAACUAGAGGGCAGAAGAAAGGAACACGAAGCAGUAAGGCGAUCUCAGCACUGUCACGCAGCAGAACUCCCACGAGAGGGGAGGGUGAUGGGUUCCAACCCACUUUCUCCCCACGUUUCCCUUCCUUUGCGCUACGCUGCGGGCACGUUGCUCACACCACCUCCAUCUCCACCGAGCGGGACCACGGAGCAAGGGCUGACCCCAUCGGCCGUCACACCAGAAAACCACUACAACUACGGCAGGCAUUUGUUAAUACCGACGAUGGCAGCGCGGCACCGGAGCGUGCGGAGAUGUUCCGACCUGCCGACGGCCUUCGAAGCGUUCCAUCCAGACGGGAUUACGACACAGCGCAGCCUCAGCAAUAAUCCGCUUCGGGGCUGCCUGCAGACGUACCCAAAAGCUUCCACCCGCCCGCUAAGAGGCGACGUGCAGCGGACGCCCCAAAGCCCUUAACAGGCGGUGCCAGCCCGCACCCCCGACGGCACUGACACACAGCUACCGCCGCCAUGCAACUUCAGCUCCUCAAACGCGCUAAACUUCUUUUUGUCGUGCGUGCCAACCUGGGAGCUACGGCCUUACAACGAGGCAGCUCCCGGCUCGACCGGCGCACAGCCCGGCUUCCCCCCCCCCCCCCGACCCGGAGCAGAACCUCAGCCGCCGCACCUCCCGCCCGCCGCCCGCUCCCGG
ensembl:lncRNA